GCCUCGGCCUCCCAAAGCGCUGGUAUUACAGGCAUGAGCCACCAUACCCAGCCUAGCUCUAACUUUUUUUAGCAGUGUCACUUAGUUGUGAUCAGACUGUAUGUGUUCUUGUAAUAUGAAGUAAGAUCACCAGUUCAUUCACAUAGUUCCAAAAUGUGUUAAACAGAAAAAGAAAAAAAGUAGGACAAUUCUAGGUUGACAAUUCAAAAACAUUUGGGCAUGACCACAGAGAGUUUUUAUUUUCUAUAUUAGUGUAACCUCAAAAAUAUUAGCUUAAAAGUAUCCCCUCUCAUGUAAGAGUUAGGUUGUGGUGUGACAAUUUCCAGGAAUGUGUAUUGAUUUCUUAUAAUUGUGUAUUUCUUGAACUAUGAGUAGUAUAUUAGGUGAUUUUUAGUCUUAACCUUUUUUGAGAGAAAAUAUAUUAGACUGCUAAUUUCAGAAUGAAUUAAUAUGAGCAGCAGGUGGAUGUAAAGAGAAACAGGAUAUUUUGGGUUGCCUUUUCUGACUAAGCUCAACUGUGUUGUGUAAAUAUAUUAGGUUAAAGGAUUUGCACAGCAAAUACUGACUUUAAAAUGUGCAGAAAUUGAAUUGAGAGUUUCUACCUGCCCAUACACUUCUUCAAUCUAAAUUCCCCAGGUUUUGUCUCUGUGUUCAGUAAAAUGUUCAUAAAGCAGAAUGAGGGGAAAAGGGCAAAAUAUCUCUCCUCACAAAAUGUCAUUUAUUGAAGUACAAUUUAAUGUCAUGCCUUCUGCCUUUGUAGAAGAUCAAAACAAAAAGAGAGAAGAAAAUGUUUUAAUAAAAAAGUAACAGCCAGAAACUAGACAGCAACCAGAUGACUACUGUUAAUAUAAGGGAAGGCGAUGCACUUGGUCAAAAAGCCAGGCAUCAAGAGAACAUGAAUGUCAGAAAGCAAAGUGAGGCAAGUAGU